rnacentral:rRNA from 1 species
AUUGAACGCUGGCGGCAGGCUUAACACAUGCAAGUCGAGCGGGGAAGGUUGCUUUGGUAACUGGCCUAGCGGCGGACGGGUGAGUAAUGCUUAGGAAUCUGCCUAUUAGUGGGGGACAACAUUCCGAAAGGAAUGCUAAUACCGCAUACGCCCUACGGGGGAAAGCAGGGGAUCUUCGGACCUUGCGCUAAUAGAUGAGCCUAAGUCGGAUUAGCUAGUUGGUGGGGUAAAGGCCUACCAAGGCUACGAUCUGUAGCGGGUCUGAGAGGAUGAUCCGCCACACUGGGACUGAGACACGGCCCAGACUCCUACGGGAGGUAGCAGUGGGGAAUAUUGGACAAUGGGCGCAAGCCUGAUCCAGCCAUGCCGCGUGUGUGAAGAAGGCCUUUUGGUUGUAAAGCACUUUAAGCGAGGAGGAGGCUCCUUUAGUUAAUACCUAAAGAGAGUGGACGUUACUCGCAGAAUAAGCACCGGCUAACUCUGUGCCAGCAGCCGCGGUAAUAC